CCUANGGGGGGCUGCAGUGGGGAAUAUUGGACAAUGGGGGCAACCCUGAUCCAGCAAUGCCGCGUGUGUGAAGAAGGCCUGCGGGUUGUAAAGCACUUUUGUCAGGGAAGAAACGCUCUGGGCCAAUACCCCGGGGUAAUGACGGUACCACCGGAGAAAGCACCGGCUAACUCCGUGCCAGCAGCCGCGGUAAUACGGAGGGUGCAAGCGUUGUUCGGAAUUAUUGGGCGUAAAGGGCGUGUAGGCGGUAAUGUAAGUCAGACGUGAAAUCCUUCGGCUCAACUGAAGAACUGCGUCUGAUACUGCAUGACUAGAGUGCAGAAGAGGGAAACGGAAUUCCCGGUGUAGAGGUGAAAUUCGUAGAUAUCGGGAGGAACACCGGUGGCGAAGGCGGUUUCCUGGUCUGACACUGACGCUGAGGCGCGAAAGCGUGGGGAGCAAACAGGAUUAGAUACCCCANUANUC
rnacentral:rRNA from 1 species